rnacentral:rRNA from 1 species
UACGUAGGGUGCAAGCGUUGUCCGGAAUUAUUGGGCGUAAAGAGCUCGUAGGCGGUCUGUCGCGUCGGCUGUGAAAACUCGGGUCUCAACCCCGAGCCUGCAGUCGAUACGGGCAGACUAGAGUGCUGUAGGGGAGACUGGAAUUCCUGGUGUAGCGGUGAAAUGCGCAGAUAUCAGGAGGAACACCGGUGGCGAAGGCGGCUCUCUGG